GACGAACGCUGGCGGCGUGCCUAAUACAUGCAAGUAGAACGCUGAAGAGAGGAGCUUGCUCUUCUUGGAUGAGUUGCGAACGGGUGAGUAACGCGUAGGUAACCUGCCUGGUAGCGGGGGAUAACUAUUGGAAACGAUAGCUAAUACCGCAUAAAAUGGAUUAUCGCAUGAUAAUCCAUUGAAAGGUGCAAAUGCAUCACUACCAGAUGGACCUGCGUUGUAUUAGCUAGUUGGUGGGGUAACGGCUCACCAAGGCGACGAUACAUAGCCGACCUGAGAGGGUGAUCGGCCACACUGGGACUGAGACACGGCCCAGACUCCUACGGGAGGCAGCAGUAGGGAAUCUUCGGCAAUGGACGGAAGUCUGACCGAGCAACGCCGCGUGAGUGAAGAAGGUUUUCGGAUCGUAAAGCUCUGUUGUAAGAGAAGAACGAGUGUGAGAGUGGAAAGUUCACACUGUGACGGUAUCUUACCAGAAAGGGGCGGCUAACUACGUG
rnacentral:rRNA from 1 species